UACGAAGGGGGCUAGCGUUGCUCGGAAUCACUGGGCGUAAAGCGCACGUAGGCGGCUCUUUAAGUCAGGGGUGAAAUCCUGGAGCUCAACUCCAGAACUGCCUUUGAUACUGGGGAUCUCGAGUCCGGAAGAGGUGAGUGGAACUCCGAGUGUAGAGGUGAAAUUCGUAGAUAUUCGGAAGAACACCAGUGGCGAAGGCGGCUCACUGGUCCGGUACUGACGCUGAGGCGCGAAAGCCAGGGGAGCAAACGGG
rnacentral:rRNA from 1 species